rnacentral:rRNA from 1 species
CUUUUACCAUAUACCACAUAGUAUGUUACAGAAUGUAUUUCAUGGGCCAUUGUGCCUAUAAAAACUAUACAACUUUCAGCAACGGAUCUCUUGGCUCUCGCAUCGAUGAAGAACGCAGCGAAAUGCGAUAAGUAAUGUGAAUUGCAGAAUUCAGUGAAUCAUCGAAUCUUUGAACGCACCUUGCGCUCCUUGGUAUUCCGAGGAGCAUGCCUGUUUGAGUGUCAUUAAAUUCUCAAUCCUUCCGGCUUUUCUGUAGGUCGGGAGUGGUUGGAAUGUUUGUGGGGGUUUCUCUGCGGGGCCUCUUGUUCGAAGUUGGCCUCCCCCUGAAAUGCAUUAGCGGGAACUGUUUGCGGGUCCCGUCACUGGGUGUGUGGAUUAAUUAUUCUACGCCAAAAGAACAAGGCUGCUCUCUGUCUGUUCAGCUUUCUAAUCCUGUCUGCAAUCUGUAGAACAACUUUCUGAACACUUGACCUCAAAUCAGGUAGGACUACCC